UCUAUCCAAAUCAAAUCAUCAAAAAGUAAAGGGGAGGCAAAAGGUUACGAGACAAAGUAGAGAAAGAAAAGGAAGCAACUUGCUGCUGCUGCUGCUGCUGCUGCUGCGAUUACCUCCGCCACCGUCUGCUGCUGCUGCGAUUACCUCCGCCACCGUCUCUUUAACCACCAUAAAAAAACUACCUCCACCUUCAUCACCAUCUCUUUAACAAACAUAACCCAUUUUUUCAUCCAAAACAAACAGAACUCAUUCCAUCAAAUCAACACCAACACCUCCACCGUAGCCAGAACCACCGCCGGACCUCUCCCCCUCUCUCUCUAGUCGGGCAAGAAGCUGCUGUCACGCAAGGAGAUCGCUCGCACCUUCGUCGACGACAUCAACUUGUGUUUAAGAUCUCAUCUAUACUACCCUGUUCACCAUGUUCCAAUUAGAUGUUUGGCUGAAAACAAUGCUAGUUGGCAAUUAGACAAAGUAAGUCACGAUGUCACAUAAUGUCCAACAUCUAUUCACCAUUACAGCCUCUAUAUAUAUAUAUGAUAAUCAGAUCAACUCUAUGUCUGAACGCUAUUCACCAGGAAAAUUACCAAAACACAUACCAUUUACACAAAUAAAAGCAAAAUACAUUAAUUUAGAGUGUAAUUUGGUGGCUGAGAUACUUAAGAGCAGGCCAACUAAUUCUGGAAAGGAGUAUAACUAUUUGUGAGCUCUAGCAUCUUUCUAUAUUAAGUGAAAAUUCAUGUUAUUAGCAAGGUUUGCAGUGCUGACUGCUGUAAUUUGAAUAUUAGUAUUAGUUAACCUCCAAUAAAGAAUAAAUGACUGCCCACGUUAUGAUAUUUUGAUGUUCUAUAGAGGACUGCUCUGUAAAUUUUUAAUCCGUAAAGAUUGAAAAUGAAGGCUUGCUGCUAUAAUUGCAGGCUUGUAUAUUUUUCUAUUUUUUUUUUUUUUUUGCUUCUGUUUUGGCCUGCUGCUAUAAUUGCAGGCUUGUAUAUCUUUUUUUUUUUUCUGCUUCUGUUUUGGCCUGCUGCUAUUUUAUGUUUCCCCACCUUUUCUUUUUGUAGAGGGAGAUGGAUGAAUUCGAGGAAGCUUUUAAUGCUCAACAAAAUGCUCUUCCACCUAGUGAGCGGGCUCCUGAGGAGGUUAGAGAUACAAUAAUGCUGGAUCAAUUUGUAGAGGUUGCUGGCGGGAUGCAAAGAAAUCAUCUUAGGGGGUAAGGCAAUGCAUCUUCAUUGGUCAUAAGGACCCCGAUGGGAUAUAGACUUGAUCCUAGCUCCACUUUUAGCUCGAGUAGUUCUUUCGCUCGAUCUAAUGCAGCUGUUGAUUUUGAAGAGAUGGAACGUCGACUCAAAGCUGACAAUGAUGCUCGGGUUCAAGCCGAGGUUGCAUCUCAGCUCCAAUCUCAUAUGGACACAAUGAGGUCGCGGCUCCGAGCUGAAGCAAGGGAUGACAUUGAAUUAAUUGUCCAAAGGAGAUUAUCACAACACCAACCACAACAACAAAACUCCCAAAACAUGCCAGCUCGCCACUCAGCAUAUGCCAGCUCGAAUCCUUAUCAGCAACACGCACGAUACGUGCCGCAGCCACAGAUGCCAGCUCGCCAUUCAUCGCCAUUAGUUUUAUAUUUUUAUGUCUUUAUCAAAAAACAAAAUUAUAUUUUAUGUGGUAUGAUAUUUAUUUAAAUAUGUAAUAUUUUUAAUUAUUU